UUCUUUGAACGUAAAAGAACGCUGUCCUCUUCGUCGAGGACGAUGGGAAAUGAACAAAGCGACGAGGUAUCGGGAUAAAAUCGUCUGAACGUACGAUUCCCGCGCUUUUCCUGUUUUUGAACGAACAACGGCUGUCGUCAUGGAAACGCAGAUCUGGCGAUGUCAGUAGUUUUGGAACUCGACCGCGGAUUGGCUAGAAAACAUCGUACGAUCAGAGGACGUCGAUAACGCCACUAAGCGCUGAUUGGAGGACUCUUUUGUUUCAAUCCUUAUAAAAGGAUUGAAUUUAGGCGGGAAUUUCAGUUGGCCUAGGACCUGGUAAGGGAACUGUAGUCUGCUUGCGCUUGCGCUUCUCGAUAACUGUCCCAAGGGAUUCGUGUGCGCGUGACCAAAGGAUACACCUAGCCGAAGCGGAACCAGCUGCCAUCGGGAAUAGGCUAGGCGUCGCCAGGUAGCGGGAGACGCAGGAGGCGACGCCGUUGAAGUUCCUAACUGAAAAUUUGCUGCGAGUCCGUCUACCACUUGUUGGAUUACAGACAUCUAAUAUACAGCAAUCCAGUUAUAUAAAUUCAACUUCGGAAUGGGAAAUACAGAAGCAAAAGAAAAGUCCAGCGAUGAGAGAAGAAUGAAAAACAAACGCAGACGGAAGAAGAAAUAAUGAAGAAAGUAACAACAUGAAGAUGAUUAGGAAUGAGAAAAAUGAAUUAAAAGCUUUUUUCACUUACCCGAAGACAGCAAAUUUACGCGUUAGAAUAGACAUAGAAAGUCGUCGUCGUCGCGGUGGGUGCAAGCGCACGACGACGACGACUUUCUAUGUCUAUUCUAACGCGUAAAUUUGCGACGAAGACGACGAACCUUCUGUAGAAUGAAAUUUGAAAAGAAAAAAGACACCGUAUAUUAUCCGAAGGUAUUUACAAAAGGCUUUUUUCAGAGCCAGUUUAUCAUCUAAAGCGGAGUCAAAUAUUAACCUUUUUAUACUCGCGGCCGGCCCACUAAAUAUUUCAUUUUUUUGUGACCCCAUUUUUUAAAUAAUAAUUUAUGUG